UACAGAGGUGGCAAGCGUUGUUCGGAAUUACUGGGCGUAAAGGGCGCGUAGGCGGCCCUCUUAGUCGGACGUGAAAUCCCCAGGCUUAACUUGGGAACUGCGUCCGAUACUGGAGGGCUCGAGUGCGGGAGAGGGAUGUGGAAUUCCAGGUGUGGCGGUGAAAUGCGUAGAUAUCGGAAGGAACAUCAGUGGCGAAAGCGACUUCCUGGACCAAUACUGACGCUCAUGUGCGAAAGCGUGGGGAGCAAACAGG
rnacentral:rRNA from 1 species